rnacentral:rRNA from 1 species
UAAGGAAUAUUGGUCAAUGGUGGAAACACUGAACCAGCUAUCCCGCGUGAAGGAUGAAGGGGCUCUGCCUUGUAAACUUCUUUUGAAUGGGACGAAAAAGCCUCACUUGUGAGGAACUGACGGUACCAUUAGAAUAAGCACCGGCUAACUCCGUGCCAGCAGCCGCGGUAAUACGGAGGGUGCAAGCGUUAUCCGGAAUCACUGGGUUUAAAGGGUGCGUAGGCGGCUGUAUAAGUCAGUGGUGAAAGGCUGUGGCUUAACCAUGGGAUUGCCAUUGAUACUGUACGGCUUGAAUUGGGUUGAGGUUGGCGGAAUGUGACAUGUAGCGGUGAAAUGCUUAGAUAUGUCAUGGAACAUCGAUUGCGAAGGCAGCUGACUGGACCUUGAUUGACGCUGAGGC